UUAUUUUAGCGGCGGACGGGUGAGUAACGUGUGGGCAACCUACCUUUUACUGUGGAAUAAUCGUUGGAAACGACGACUAAUACCGCAUACGGGUUCUUGGAAGGCAUCUUCUAAGAAAGAAAGGAGUAAUUCGGUAAAAGAUGGGCCCGCAUCUGAUUAGCUAGUUGGUGAGAUAAUAGCCCACCAAGGCAACGAUCAGUAGCCGACCUGAGAGGGUGACCGGCCACAUUGGGACUGAGACACGGCCCAAACUCCUACGGGAGGCAGCAG
rnacentral:rRNA from 1 species